GGUCCAUGCUAAAUUUUGAGUCCAAACUCAAAAUAUAAAACAUUCAGAAGCUUUACGGAAGGAAAAAUAUCCAGAAUUAUAAAUUGGAGCAUAUGCGGUUGACUUCGAGGUAUGAGCACCAUCUAUCAACAUUGAGAUUGAGCUAACAACAACUAUAUUCGGAGUUGAGGGGAGCAUAUGACGUCCUUGAUC